AAAACGAUUACCCUGAACGGUGGAUCACUCGGCUCGCGGGUCGAUGAGGAACGCAGUUAACUGCGCGUCAUAGUGU
rnacentral:rRNA from 1 species